UAGGCACGUUUUUGUUGUUGUUUUUUGUUCUGUUUUGUUUUUUGUGCUAAAAUGUCCUUAAGUAGAUUUCUGGUUGUGGGGGGCCAAAGAGCAGAAAUUUAAUGAAAAAACUGCUUCUAUUUGUGAUCUGCUUAUAUAUUUGAACUUGGGAUCAAGAGAUCAAUCAGCGAAACCAAGUCAGUUAGAAAUGGAUUUGCAUUCGCGCCAGAUGAAGAACUUGAGCCAAGAACAACGUGAGGAUCGCACGCUUCACGGUGUCUUGAGGUUACAUCAUGACACGGCUUACAUUCUGACCCCUCAGUAAGAAGGUCUGCUGGUAAACAGCAAUUACCUCUGCUUUGAGCACAAUUUCUCUCCUUCCUAGACACACAGUUGCCUUUGCCACAUAGCUGCACCACCCCCAUCUCUUAGCAAAGCCUUUGGGGAGCGCAAGGGAAGGAUCCCGAUCCUCCGGAGAGGACUCUCAUGCUUCCUUGUGGAUGUAACAAGGGUUCACAAAGGGAGCAUCACGGGGGGGUUGAGCAAAGGUAGACUGUCCCUCUUGACCAUCCAUCCUCCCAGCACAGAUAUAAGGGGGCAAGGGUCCUCCCAGGAGGCACACUGCAUGCUGUGCACCCUGCACCCCUACAGGACCCAGCCUGGCAGCCCUUCCAAUCCCUACCUCAACUCACCAAUCUGGCUUUGGUUUGAGACCCCAGGAGGGGUUUGGGGGACAACCCCAGGGUCCAGGUUAGAUGCUCAGGAAUAGGAGAGCCUUAUUCCUG